UAAAUUAUAUAAAAAUAAUUGAAUUAUAUAAAAAUGAAAAGAAACAAAUGAAAUUAUUUUUCGCAAUUAAACAGCUGAUCGUUAUUUCACAGUGAGUAGUCAUCGCUUAUCGACUCAGCGCCCAACAGUCUACUAUUUAUUUAGUUAAUUAACUUAUCAAUUAAAGCGUCACUAAAAGUGUCACUACUGUGCAUUGGAAACGAUAUUGAGUAUUUCAGGAAUGGAGAUACGGAUCCUGGUAACAAAGAUUACCGGAAUGUGAUUAACAUCCUAAACCCAAAACAAUACAAUGUUGAUUGAUGAGAUUGGAGCCGAUUAUCGGAAGAUUAGAAAUAGAAGCUCUCUAGUAUAGCAUUAUAGGUGUUUAAUGCAAGCAUUGACAUGCUCAUGUUCCGGAUUAGCCUCAUCAUUCACCAAUACCCACUCAACUUGCUGUAAUCGGAUAUACAUUCAUCAUUCAUUCCGGAUUUAUAUUUGUAUUUAUAUCCGCAACACACAGACAACCAUCUGCACUCAAGAUCUUUUCCGUUCCAUCAACAAAGUCCAUUUUUAAGUAAAAAAUAAAAAAAAAAAAACAGUCAAGAGUGUCCUUUAAGCCGGUGAUCUCUACUCUGCAAAUCCUCUGCAUAUUAUUCAGCAAUAAGCAUUGCUUUCUGUGCUAAGAUCUCACGUUUCAGAUGUUGAACUAUCCUGACAGUAAAUUGACACUAGACACUGUUUGCAAGUAUUUUUAGCUGGAAGUCUUUAAUUUUUGAGAGGCAAACUUUUGAGCCAGCACUAAUCCGGCUGAAGAAUUAAUGAUCUCCGGGCUUUGGAGCUCGAAGGGAGCCAUCAUGUGUUAUUGUAUUACGACACUGGAUAAUGUAAGACGUCUGGUUGAUAAAUCUUUCUAUUUUAUCACUGAAAUGUCCAAAUACGAGCAACAUUUGCGGUUUUAUGUCUCAUAAUAUUUAAGGCUGUAUCUACAUCAUCACGUCUUGUAACUUUCAAAUUCAACUUUUGUGAUAGUGCCAUCAAUUUGUUGCCCGAAGAAUUUCAAUUUCAUGCAUAAAAAUGUUUUGAAUGUUGGAGAAGCGAUGCAGGGCGAAAGUCUGACGUUUAGGGGUUGAGACAUACACUGAGCUGAUGUUAAGGACCCGGGAGGUCCUUCAAGUAACUAUAUUACUCAAUACAAUCCAAUUUUACUUAGCCGUGAAUCGAAUUUCAGAAAAACACUCAUACGCUUGGAAUUUUGUUUUAAGUAUUUAGAAAAAUUUUUAGCCAAAAAAAAAAAAAAAAAAAAUAAAGAGAUGAUUCAGUUAUAAAAAAACAUGAACUUCACAGAGGACGAAGGAGGAUGUGAUAAAAGCAGCGGCGGGUGUAAAUCUCGGUGAUAAUCCUUUGUGAGUACACAAUAUACUUAAUAUCGUCGGAUUUGUUAUUCUUCCUUCAAUAUAUUUUAUGUCCUGAUUGAUCAACGAGCAGACUCUCGAGUAGAGUGAAAGCAGUCCAGGUACAUAGAUAGAGAUACAUAUACAGUAGAGAGUUGAGAGAAUACUAUACACAGCAACAGCAACACACGGUAGAAGGUCGAGCCGCCGGUGCGAACCGUUGACUGAACCACUGGCUAAGAGUUAGGGGUGGCGAGCUAUACCACACACGUUAUACUCGACUCUACCCACUACACCGUUAACUCAACCUGCUGCUCCGCUGUGUGCUGCGCGAUCCUACGAUUCUGCGCGCUUAUGUUUUCUUUAAACUCCAUACAUCUAUCAUUUAUAGAUAUAUUUAUAUUUACAUUUAUAUGUGUCUAUAAAUAUUCUACGGACUUUUUUUAUAGGUUUCUGUCAGUCAGAGUUCCCUCUGCAUCGCGAUCUUCACACUGAGCUGCUUCGUGAUCAAGAAAAGGGAUCAAGAAUUCACGAUUAGAAGAUCCUUAAUACCUUCGAUCAAUCUUUGACAGUCUACUGAACUUUUGGAUAAGAAAUUU
rnacentral:lncRNA from 1 species